UGCAUGGGUUGCAAAGGUUUUAACUUCCAGCCUCAGUUUCCAAGCUCAGCUAGACUCAAACAAAGGGAGCAGAACAACAGCCUGAACUUUCCAUCAUGUGUUGUGUACCCCUGGAAAGCAGAGGGGUAUAAGCCUUAUUAAAGUCUUCCAGUGCAUAUCAAAUGGAAAGCAGAGCCCAGAAAAUAAACCUUCAAACCAGGAUUUCUGCAACUGAUUCAACUUCCUUUUUUUUUCUCUUUUCUCCACUAAGCUAACUUUAUUAUUGUUCCAAUCCUGAGACCUCGGCUCUUUCAAACUGACAAUCACAAUUGCUUCAUACUCCUUGAGGGUUCACCUCCUAGCUCUUCAGACCUGCAUAUGAAAGGCUGAUUUAUUUAUUUAUUUAUUUUAUGGCACUGAUUAAAUUUGAAGUCUGUAGAGUCAUUCUUGCAUUUUAAGGCAGCAGUUCUGCUAUUGCAUGUCUGCUGGCAAGGGCUGGCAUGGCAUGGGAAGGAGGUGCUCAGAGAGAGUAAAUCAUCCUCUCACAGGGUAAAGGAACUAAGAAUAUUACAGAGGUGCUGCGCUACAUUGCUGUGGUUACACAUCUGUGCCAUAUGAGACCCAUCACCAGCUUUCACUGUAGUGCUUUAAGACUGUAAAAAAUACUUCCUCUGAAGAAAUGGCAAUGCUCUGCAGCAACGGAAACGUACCUUGUGAAACCCCCUCUGAGCAGAAGUUUUGAGCAUAUUGGCGGGUCAGCAGUUUGAGGUCGGCAGUAGCUUGCAUAAAGCAAAACUCAUAAACAAGCCGUGUGUCUCCCAGCUGGAUCCCUCCAACUUGCAGAAGUUGGGACUCGUCAUUUCUUCUGUGGAAGACCACUAGGGAAAACAGAAUUGCUGCAGGAUGUAGCCUGAUGAUUCAUCCAUUGGAUGCUCUCUCCCUUCUGAGUAACAACUGAAUCACAGCAGAUGCCAGGGGUGGAAAAGACUGCUUGUUGUUGAAAGGCCCUCUAAACCUUCCUCACCAGCUCUGCAUCUCUGGGAACUAACUACAGUACACUCCUCAGCACAUUUAAAGAAAACUUUCUCCUUCACUUUCCCUGUAUUGUUUCUGCUGCUUUCUUCAAUGACUGAAUUUUUGCCAUUUGCUAAUGGAAUGAGUUUCUGAUGUGUCUCUUGAUCCCCACCUGCAACGUUAAGGAUGAGCCCAUGGUUGAUCUUUGCAGGCUUGGAGGGUGGGCUGAGUCCAUUGCCUGGCGCUUGACGUGGGUUUGAUGACAGCAGGGAGAGCGCAGUGCCCCGUUGUGAUUGCGGUUACUUUGUCCUGCUGCCUUUUCUUUAAAAGAAAUUAAAAAAUAAAAAAUUACAGCCUACUAAAGAGGAGCUUCUGCUUAGCGAAAGUGACACUGUGAAGUUUUUUUGGUGUUUUUGGUCUGUGCCUCCUGUCCUGCUGGUGCUCCUGAGAAGUCACGAGACAUUCAGCCUUGUGUGCUACCAAGACAAUUGCUCCAUACAGCUGAUCCCCAUCAGCCAGGCCAUGGAGGGAUGUGUCAGGGUUGACUGAGAUGACUCAGAAAUAAUAAUAAAUAAAUAAAAUAAAAAGAAAGGGGGGGUGGGGAAGGCGGGGAAUAAACCAGACGUUGGUUUGUGAAAACAUGACUCAGCUUCUGUUAAGUAAGCCCUCCGCUCAUGCACGUCCCGUCAACUCAUUACACAGCACGUUUCAUGGGGUAUUUCGCAUUUCUUUCCUGGCUUGUCCACUCUGAUUUCCUGUUUACAGUAGGCUAGGGAGAAAACUCGCUGGAAUAGAAUGGGAGCGGGGCCCGGGCUGCGGGGGCAGCUCGCUGUCAGAACAAGUUUUGCAGGGUUUAGCUCUAAAACUGUCUGUCCUAGCAUUGUCCUGGUCUUUAUCAAUAAACAUUAUUGUAAUUUCAUUCAGGCAGCAGUUGUAUGUUCUGGUAUGCGUACACCAGCUGUCUUCCUGCUCUUACAUUCAAAUCAUUUCCCAAGCCUGAAUGCUUCAUAAAUCAGAAAUAGGCGUGUGUCACUUACAAAGCCUUUCAUUUUAAUGCGUUUUUUUUAAAUGUAUUUCCUUAUUUCUAAAUCUAUCUUAACAAAAUUAUUCCCUUAAUAACUGUGGCUUUUAAAAGCUUUUCAAGCAUACAGAUUUGAACGCAUACGGAGAAAACGGAAGUGAGAAAAUUCGUGCAUUUCAUGUGCAGGUUUGCUUUCAGAUUUACGGCACAAAACUUAACAAAUACAGGCUGCACCUUUGGAGAACAGAUAAUAAAAUAAAGGCACAUGGGGAUCUGAGUUUACCUCCAAAAUAAACUUCCUUUUCUUUUAUGCAUACCAAAGAACCUGAAGCGGUUAAUAUCUCUAAGAAACUCUGGGACGCGGGGCUGGUCCAUCUGUUCCAUUGUCAGUGACUGUCCCAAUGACACACACACGUAUGAGAACAGGAACCUCGGGAACUUUGUAUACAGCCACGUGACCUGAGCGCUAAACCCUACGUUCUACCAAACCAGCUUCAAUGGACAUUUAAAAAAAACGUAGCGCUAUAUAAAAUAAAGUGUGCAACAACUGUUUUUUGUAAAGAAAUAUGGUUUAGUUUUAAGCCUCCAGAAGGUUGUUUAUCAUAUUCAUUAACGGGGGAAGAAACAAAAAGCAUUUUAAAUAUGGGAAGUAAAUUGCUGCUAUCUUUUUUUGUUUGCUUGCUUGAAAAGUAUCUUAUUUUUUAAUCUUAAAAUGAAAUCUGUCUUUUUUUUUUUUUUCCCUGUCAAGUUAUUUGAUGUAGUCUUUUAGACUAGAAUAGCUGGAAUGUGUUGCUGAUUAUAGUAAUUGCCUAGUCUUCCUUUACUUAAAAAGAAGCACAUGGACUUGAAAAACCAUAAUGAAGGAAAUCAUUUGGGUAGCUCUCUCUGGCAAAGAAUCCCUUCCCUUCUCUUUAAGGAAAGUGCUGCUUGUAUGUUUUAUGAUUCACUCACAUGAAAACUCAUUCAAAUCUGAAAUUAUCGGAGGCUUCACUUAACACUUUAUGGUUAUACUGUAAGAUGUGGGAGAUGGAAAGUAUGUAGAAUAUAUUGCUAUUUAAAGUUUCUAAGCCUGCUCAGCUUUGAAAGUCUCAAGACUACUGAGAUCAUAGUGGAAAAAGUAUAUGAAGGUGGGAAAGCAGUCUUCAAAAUACUUAAUAUGUUUCUAUAAAGACUAAAAGGAGAUCACUAAGAUGGUUUUCAAAUACCGAGCCUCCUACAUAAGGCUUUUAUGGCAUAGGAAUUACUCUG